rnacentral:rRNA from 1 species
AACGAACGCUGGCGGCAUGCCUAACACAUGCAAGUCGAACGAGACCUUCGGGUCUAGUGGCGCACGGGUGCGUAACGCGUGGGAACCUGCCCUUAGGUUCGGAAUAACUCCCCGAAAGGGGUGCUAAUACCGGAUAAUGUCUUCGGACCAAAGAUUUAUCGCCUUUGGAUGGGCCCGCGUUGGAUUAGCUAGUUGGUAGGGUAAAAGCCUACCAAGGCGACGAUCCAUAGCUGGUCUGAGAGGAUGAUCAGCCACACUGGGACUGGGACACGGCCCAGACUCCUACGGGAGGCAGCAGUGGGGAAUAUUGGACAAUGGGCGAAAGCCUGAUCCAGCAGUGCCGAGUGAGUGAUGAAGGCAUUAGGGUUGUAAAGCUCUUUUACCCGGGAUGAUAAUGACAGUACCGGGAGAAUAAGCUCCGGCUAACUCCGU